rnacentral:miRNA from 1 species
GUUGGUACGGCGCUGUUAAUC